AUACGGAAGGUGCGAGCGUUAAUCGGAAUUACUGGGCGUAAAGGGUUCGUAGGCUGCCAAGUCAGUCGGAUGUGAAAGCCCCGGGCUUAACCUGGGAAUGCCAUUCGAUACUGCUUGGCUAGAGUAUGACAGAGGAAAGCGGAAUUCCGCAUGUAGCGGUGAAAUGCGUAGAUAUGCGGAAGAACACCAACGGCGAAGGCAGCUUUCUGGAUCAAUACUGACGCUGAGGAACGAAAGCGUGGGGAGCAAACAGGAUUAGAAACCCGGGUAGUCC
rnacentral:rRNA from 1 species